UACUACAGCUCAGUAGUAGAGCUCUUGUCUAGCAUAUAUGAGACCCUGGGUUCAGUUCCCAGUACAGUAA
rnacentral:tRNA from 1 species